rnacentral:rRNA from 1 species
GAUUAGCUAGUUGGUGAGGUAACGGCUCACCAAGGCGACGAUCCCUAGCUGGUCUGAGAGGAUGACCAGCCACACUGGAACUGAGACACGGUCCAGACUCCUACGGGAGGCAGCAGUGGGGAAUAUUGCACAAUGGGCGCAAGCCUGAUGCAGCCAUGCCGCGUGUAUGAAGAAGGCCUUCGGGUUGUAAAGUACUUUCAGCGGGGAGGAAGGUGUUGUGGUUAAUAACCGCAGCAAUUGACGUUACCCGCAGAAGAAGCACCGGCUAACUCCGUGCCAGCAGCCGCGGUAAUACGGAGGGUGCAAGCGUUAAUCGGAAUUACUGGGCGUAAAGCGCACGCAGGCGGUCUGUCAAGUCGGAUGUGAAAUCCCCGGGCUCAACCUGGGAACUGCAUUCGAAACUGGCAGGCUUGAGUCUUGUAGAGGGGGGUAGAAUUCCAGGUGUAGCGGUGAAAUGCGUAGAGAUCUGGAGGAAUACCGGUGGCGAAGGCGGCCCCCUGGACAAAGACUGACGCUCAGGUGCGAAAGCGUGGG